rnacentral:rRNA from 1 species
AGAGUUUGAUCCUGGCUCAGAAUCAACGCUGGCGGCGGCCUAACACAUGCAAGUCGAACGGGAAAGUGGAGCAAUCCAUGAGUAUAGUGGCGCACGGGUGAGUAACACGUGACUAACCUGCCUUUCAGUGGGGGAUAACCUCGGGAAACCGGGGCUAAUACCGCAUAACAUCUUCGGGAUGAAAAGCUGAAGAUCAAAGGGGAAAUUCGCUGAAAGAGGGGGUCGCGGCUGAUUAGCUAGUUGGCGGGGUAACGGCCCACCAAGGCGAUGAUCGGUAGCCGGCCUGAGAGGGCGCACGGCCACACUGGAACUGAAACACGGUCCAGACUCCUACGGGAGGCAGCAGUGGGGAAUUUUGCGCAAUGGGGGAAACCCUGACGCAGCAACGCGCGUGGAGGAUGAAGUCCCUUGGGACGUAAACUCCUUUCGACCGGGACGAUAAUGACGGUACCGGUGGAAGAAGCCCCGGCUAACUUCGUGCCAGCAGCCGCGGUAAUACGAGGGGGGCGAGCGUUGUUCGGAAUUAUUGGGCGUAAAGGCGCGUAGGGGCNNGGUAAGUCACCUGUGAAACCUCCGGGCUUAACUCGGAGCCUGCAGGCGAAACUACCGUGCUUGAGUGUGGGAGAGGGNGUGGAAUUCCCGGUGUAGCGGUGAAAUGCUAGAUAUCGGGAGGAACACCUGUGGCGAAANNGGCNNACUGGACCACAACUGACGCUGAGGCGCGAAAGCUAGGGGAGCAAACAGGAUUAGAUACCCUAGUAGUCC